rnacentral:lncRNA from 1 species
UUUAAUUCAUUUUUAUUUUUUUUCUUUUCUUUUUAUUUUUUCUUUUCUUUUAAUAAUUAUUUUUAUUUUAAAAAUUAAUUCCAAAUAAUAUAAUUUUGCUAAUAUUAUUUUUCCUAAUUAAUUCAAACUCCCUACUGUUCAUCUUCUUCCUCACCAAAAUUGAAACCCUAGAAUCCGUCGACCCACCCACCAGUCCAUCAGUCGCCUACCCAAAGCCAUAGAAUCCGGCCAGAACAAUACCCAACACCAUAUCAAAAUAAAAAACAGCCGAUUAACCAAAAGGCGGCACAGAAAAGAGAGAAAGGCGGCAGCAGCUGUGAGAUUAGAGAUUUAGAAAGACAAGACUAUAAUUUGUUGUGAGAUCAGAUUUGCUCUAUACUCAUUAUAUUCAUAGGGAUAUGCCGCCGCUGCCACUGCUGCUUUGGUUAUUGUUUUUGUUUACUCCUACCGCCACGGCCACCACCACGGCCACCAGGACUACGGACGACAGGCCAUUCACGGUGGCCUUCAGUGAACGUGAGGGUCUGUGAGAUUAGAGAUUUCAAUGAACGUGAGGGUCUGUAGAAGAAUUUUGUACAAGAGGCAAGAUCGAGCAAUUUCAGUGAACGUGAGGGUCUGUGAGAUUAGAGAUUUACAUAGAUACUUAACAAGAAAUUUGGGAUUCAACGAGAGAGAGGGUCUGUGAGAGAUGAGGUCUGUGAUGGUGAAGAUAACAAGAAAUUUGGGAUUUAGAUAGAUACUCAAUCGGCAUUUGAGAGAUAAGGUCUGAGAGAUACUCAAUUGGAAUAUUUAGAUAGAAAUUUGAGAGAUAAGGUCUGAGAAAUUUUUGUUCAGAUGUAAUUUUGGAUCGGAAAAAGAAAAGAGA